rnacentral:rRNA from 1 species
UACGGAGGAUCCGAGCGUUAUCCGGAAUUACUAGGCGUAAAGGGCAGGCAGGCGGAUCCAUAAGUUUAUCGUUUAAGGCGUCGGCUUAACCGGCGUAGGGCGGUAGAUACUGUGGAUCUGGAAUGCGGUUGGGGAAGACAGAAUUCCUGGUGUAGCGGUGGAAUGCGCAGAGAUCAGGAAGAAUACCGAAGGCGAAGGCAGUCUUCCAAGCCGUUAUUGACGCUCAACUGCGAAGGUGUGGGUAUCAAACAGGAUUAGAUACCCCUGUAGUCCCUGAG